GACCUCGGAUCAGGCAGGGAUACCCGCUGAACUUAA
rnacentral:rRNA from 2 species